UACGUAGGGCGCAAGCGUUGUCCGGAAUUAUUGGGCGUAAAGAGCUCGUAGGCGGUCUGUUGCGUCCGCUGUGAAAACUCGGGGCUUAACCCCGAGCCUGCAGUGGAUACGGGCAGACUAGAGGUAGGUAGGGGAGAAUGGAAUUCCCUGUGUAGCGGUGAAAUGCGCAGAUAUCGGGAGGAACACCGGUGGCGAAGGCGGUUCUCUGGGCCGAUACUGACGCUGAGGAGCGAAAGCGUGGGGAGCGAACAGG
rnacentral:rRNA from 1 species